GAUGAACGCUGGCGGCGUGCCUAAUACAUGCAAGUCGAGCGAACGGACGAGAAGCUUGCUUCUCUGAUGUUAGCGGCGGACGGGUGAGUAACACGUGGAUAACCUACCUAUAAGACUGGGAUAACUUCGGGAAACCGGAGCUAAUACCGGAUAAUAUUUUGAACCGCAUGGUUCAAAAGUGAAAGACGGUCUUGCUGUCACUUAUAGAUGGAUCCGCGCUGCAUUAGCUAGUUGGUAAGGUAACGGCUUACCAAGGCAACGAUGCAUAGCCGACCUGAGAGGGUGAUCGGCCACACUGGAACUGAGACACGGUCCAGACUCCUACGGGAGGCAGCAGUAGGGAAUCUUCCGCAAUGGGCGAAAGCCUGACGGAGCAACGCCGCGUGAGUGAUGAAGGUCUUCGGAUCUUAAAACUCUGUUAUUAGGGAAGAACAUAUGUGUAAGUAACUGUGCACAUAUUGACGGUACCUAAUCAGAAAGCCACGGCUAACUACGUG
rnacentral:rRNA from 1 species